ACGCACGUCCUAGACCCCAUAAACUCGAAACUGCCUGCCCCGACUCUCUCCCUGCACAACCGGCUCAUCCUCCCCUCUCUAGAGCUACCUGUUGCGUCAUCGUUCGUCGGAUCCGCGCCAUCACCACUCGUCCGCCAAGACUGCGAUCCAUUCCGAGCUUUGAGGGAUCAACGAUCAAGCGUUGGCGACCAAGUGGUCGGGCUCUUCGAGUUCCACAAGGUUGAAGACCCUGAGCAUCUGUUUGGUGAAGGCAAGUGUCCUCUGACCUAUUAUGUCCUACAUACUUAUAAUUCACCGUCCAACAUUACAUUAUUGAAACCUAAAGAUUGACAAUUCUGUAUUUCCUUAUCCUUAUUUACCUUUUGGGGUUAUCAUGGUUAGCUUUAUGCUAUUGCUUUACUUUAAUCAAUGAACAUGAUGUGAAUAUUUAUGAUAUGAUGAUGUUAUCCCAAUGAUGAUCUUGUGAUAUUUUAGGGGACUCAGGCUAUUUUCCUGAGUACCUCUCCGUAAGGACCUGUUCGUGGAGUGACAAUCCGGGAUAACAGUGCGGCCAUGAGGGUGGAAUGGGAUGCCCUUAGCUGAUUAAUUAGAGGAACCAGAGGAGUAGUUGGCUUCAUCGUAGGGCCGUCAAUGGGGUCCAGGCACAGUACUUGCUCUACCGAGGCUGAUUGCAGAGGUUCUUUGAUUUGGUUUUGGUUAGUCACCCUUUCUUUGGGGAGAGGUACAGUGUUUAUCAAACUGGACAAACCUAAUUGGUGGCUAUGACCUCUGGAAAAUCUUUGUAAAGUCUACGUAGUGAGACCCUGCUAGGUCACCUUGGAAGUGAUCAAUGGAGAGUCAUGAUCUCCUGGCAGAAUGGGGAUCACGACUUGUGGGGAAAGUGUGCGACCUCUCCAGAGGGUUAGAAACUGAUAUAUCAGUCGUGCUCACGGUUAUGAGCGGCCUUGGGAUCCUAUUUGAUUAGAGAUACAGAUGGUUUGAUAUACAAUGGUUCUAUUUAUUAUUUUGGUUCGAUGAUGAUAAUGAUGUUCCUCGAUGAGGAAAGGAUUCAUGGGUUGGUUAUAUUAUAAAACUUGGCUUCCACUAAUAAUAAAUACCUGACCAACUAAAAGCAACUGCUUUGACCUUAACCCCCACAUAAAGCUAGUCCACUUCAGCCAAACGAGACAUUUGCUGAGUACGUUGAUGUGUACUCACCCUUGCUUUCACAAAACACCAGGUUGCCUUUGGUGCAAUCUAUGCUCACGUAAAUAAGAAGGCAUCUCUCCAGGAGUUCCAGGACAUCAGCGAGAUCGAGGAUUAGCCUAGCGACCUCCCCCAGUCAGCUGCCUGUGGUGGGUUUAUUUACGUUGGCUACGUUUCGAUUCUGUGUACUUUGAUUUAUAUUAUAUAAAUGCUCUAGUCUUUAAUAUUAUAACUUACUCUUCCUUGUUA